rnacentral:lncRNA from 1 species
CAACUGUUAACAGAGAUCUACAAAAUUAUAUGAUCAACUGUUAACAAGAGAUCCAAAUAAUUUUAUGACCAACUGUUAACAGAGAUCUACAAAAUUAUAUAUGGUCAACUAUCAACAAGAGAUCCAAAUAAUUUCAGGACUAUGUGUUAUUUAAUUUAUUAUACUGAAUGUCUAAUCAUUAUUGUCUUUUACAGAUUAAUCUUAUUUCAAAAGUAUUUUCUAUGACGUCAUGUACAUAACAACGUUGUUACAGGUAGAAAAUAUAUUAGGAAAAACAACAAAAAUUAAGCAAAAUGUUUUAUUUUUUUAUUUUGACAGUCAAAUAAGAAAAUCUGAACCAAAACGUAGAACUUAAGCCUUGUUUUAAUUACUUGACGUAAAUUCAAUUCAUUUCUUUUAAAUUAUCGAUUUUGUCUGGACGAGAGGGUAACAUUAAAAAAAAUAGUCACCCGCUCAGCCAUGUGAUAGAGUAAAUUAACACCCUUGUAUUAGCCAAUCAAAAUAUGGCAUUUUAACGUGAAAAUAAUAUGUUCAACUGUUAACAGACAUCAACACACUUAUAUGAUCAAUUGUUAACACGAGAUCCAAAUAAUUUAAUGACCAACUGUUAACAGAGAUCCACACAAUAAUAUGUUCCAGUGUUAACAGACAUUAACACACUUAUAUAUGAUCAAUUGUUAACAAAGAUUUAUUCAAUUAAAAG